GUCUCGGUAGUCUAAAGGUUCAGGACGCUCGCACAGAAUGCAAGAGAUCCGGGUUCGACUCCCGGCCGAGGCA
rnacentral:tRNA from 1 species